UCGAAAUCAGAAUUAAUAAACUUUGUUAGUAAAAUAUAUUGGAAAUGGUGGAACACGACUGGUCUUGAUAUUAAAAAAAAUAUAAUAAGCAAACUUAGUUCCAUUAAUCUACGCCUCGAAUUCUUAGUUGGAAAAACUAUGAUGGUGCUUCAAACAUGAGUGGAAGGAACAUAUGAGUACAGGCUUUGAUUAGAGCUGAGAUCUCAAAGGGAGCUUUUUUGAUUCUAUUGUCAUCGAUUAAAUCUAAUCAUUGUUUAAUUAUUUCAAUCGAUAAAAGAACUAAGAAAUGUUUUAAAGAUCUUAGACGAGAUUCACUUGUAUUUUAAUAGUGUUAAAAAAUAUGCAAUGCUCAAAGUAUCAGAGUUGAUGUAAUGCCAAAAUCGCAAAGAUUUAUAUGCAUUAAGAAUACCACUCGGUAAUAUUAUCUGAAAAAAAUAUACCUUCUGAUUUUGAAAGUUCUAGACUUCAAACAUUACAAUACAAAUGAGAGUUAUAAAACCAGUUUAUACUGCAGAUUUGAUCAUUAUGCAGUUUAAUGAAAGAUUCAGUGAUAAAUUGAUGAAAUUUUUAAAUCAAACCUCAUUUUUUUACACCAAAGGCGGAAAAGAUAUUCGUUAAGGAUGAUAUCGAGGGUAUCUGUGAAUUUUACCAUUAAAAUUCAAUCUCGAGAAACCAUCGUACGCCUCAAGAGGUCAACGAAUUCAAAAAGUUCGAGUUGAUAUGCUGUCGCGGUAUGCCGUGGGGAGGAGCUAACCGACUCAAGCACAAGAGACGGAAUCACAAGAGAAUAAAAUAGGAAGAAUUGCUGUUAAACCAUUCCAUAGAUAUUCAGUCUCUCCCACUAGCCUCAGCAAUAAAUAUCAAUCCCAUAUUGGUACAGUGGUGCCUUACAGCGAUUGAUCCAGGCUUUAGAAGAUCAAAAGUCAGUCUAAUUAUACAUUGGAACAAGUAUUUGAUUUAGAUGGCCUCCUAUGUUAGAGUGGGUAACAAAAUAAUGAAGAUAGAGAUCCGAGAGGUUGACGGUUCAGAAGAGUCCAACAGAUGGGUAGAAGCCGCUAGGAACGAAGCAAAACAAAGAUAUGGAGAUUGGCUACAAGAGACGCCAACGAGAGGGGUUCACAGGAUAGCACCAUAUAACACAAGAAGGAGAGUGGAAUGUUGGGCUUGUGGGGGAGGACACAAGUUACGAUAUUGUCCCAGUGUAGAGUUGACAGCGAACAAUAAUACGAA